AGUGAGGCGUUCGGACUGGCCCAGGGAGGUCGGCAACGACCACCCAGGGCCGGAAAGUUCGUCAAACUUGGUCAUUUAGAGGAAGUAAAAGUCGUAACAAGGUCUCCGUAGGUGAACCUGCGGAGGGAUCAUU
rnacentral:rRNA from 1 species